CCUUUCCAACGAAAAAAAAUCCUUUUCAUUUCAUUCUCUCAUAUCCUGCAUUCAAUCAAUAGCUAGAAAGACAGGGGUUAAACGUGAAUCAGCAAACACGUUUGGACUUGUUUCGAACAACACAUGUGACCGUUGGAAGUGGACUAUAGGGCUAAAUUUCCUCGGACAAAAAGACACACCAAAGCAGUUGAAUACUUUUUUUCUCGACUUUAAUAAAACAUCAUAUUUUCAAAAGGAUAGAGGAAGUCUCUUAACCUACACCUCCGUGGUAUGAGUUUGGGUGAGUGUGAAAUUUUAAGUUAAUAAUUAGUUCUUGAGGUUGUUAAUUAAUCCGAUAAGCUUCUGAAACGAUGUAAUAUUAAGACACAUAUUAAAAGUGUUAUCCAUUUUUAGUUGAAGAAGCUAUUUUGUCCCUUUUCUACACAGAAUUCAUCAUUGUGGAACGAAAAUGAUGAGAGAGAGAGAGAGAGAGCGAGAUUAGUCCAUUACAUUUCAACAAUUGAAUAUGUUUGUGUGAGUAUUCAUUAAUUUCUACUUCUCCACGGCGCAUUUACUGCGAAAAAUAUAAAACGAGUUGGCUAGGCUGAAUCUCUCUCAUUCUGCUAUCGUCUGGUGAUUUGGAAACACUUGAUCUUUAGAGCCGGUCGUUGUUGAACUUAAUUUAUUGAUUGCCAUGCAGCUGUCCAAGCAGGGUGUUCUGCUCUCCCGUACCGAUCAAAUUUGUUGCCUUAAACACGCACAUUGAGCGUUCGUUUCUGGCAACAAAUUUAAUAGAAAUUACAGUGGUUGGUAUCUUUACGGGGCUGGACAUUGGCUGCGAGUUCCUUUUCCGGGGAUGUGCUACCCAUGGCCGGAUCCGCCAAAUGAUUCCUCCAUUGGCACCGACUUGCGGGCGGGCUGAGGCGCAGUGUUAUUGUGAUGCUGACCGAAACUGUUCACGGUCGGUCCCAGUAAAUGGGAAACCUUUAGAAUAAGAACUUGAUUAUGUUGUGGUAGUGAAUAAAGUCUUAAAAAAUGUCAA